GCAGGAAGAAGGUCCUAUGGAUUGUAAACUGCUUUUAUUUGGGGAUAAACCUCUGGUCGUGCACCGGAGCUGAAGGUACCAAAUGAAUAAGCACCGGCUAACUCCGUGCCAGCAGCCGCGGUAAUACGGAGGGUGCAAGCGUUAUCCGGAAUCAUUGGGUUUAAAGGGUCCGCAGGCGGACUUAUAAGUCAGUGGUGAAAGCCUACAGCUUAACUGUAGAACUGCCAUUGAUACUGUAAGUCUUGAAUUCGGUCGAAGUGGGCGGAAUGUGUAGUGUAGCGGUGAAAUGCUUAGAUAUUACACAGAACACCGAUAGCGAAGGCAGCUCACUAGGCCUGGAUUGACGCUCAGGGACGAAAGCGUGGGGAUCAAACAGGAUUAGAUACCCUGGUAGUCCACGCCGUAAACUAUGAUCACUCGUUUUCGGCGAUCUACUGUCGGAGACUAAGCGAAAGUGAUAAGUAAUCCACCUGGGGAGUACGAUCGCAAGGUGA
rnacentral:rRNA from 1 species